UACGGAGGGUGCAAGCGUUGUUCGGAUUUAUUGGGCGUAAAGCGCGUGUAGGCGGUCUCUUCAGUCUGAUGUGAAAGCCCCGGGCUCAACCCGGGAAGUGCAUUGGAUACUGGGAGACUUGAAUACGGGAGAGGGUAGUGGAAUUCCUAGUGUAGGAGUGAAAUCCGUAGAUAUUAGGAGGAACACCGGUGGCGAAGGCGGCUACCUGGACCGGUAUUGACGCUGAGACGCGAAAGCGUGGGGAGCAAACAGG
rnacentral:rRNA from 1 species